rnacentral:lncRNA from 1 species
CCUGUGUCAAACCUCUCUCCAUACCUGUGCUGUCUCCCUCUAUCAAGGCAUCUCCUUUCUUGCCCUCCUCUGUAGGAAGCCGGUUCCUGCAUUAUAAUGCUGCCUGAAGACACCAAGGUGUGAAUUACUUCACAGGCGCCGGGUUAUCUCCAUUCCUUUGAUCUCUGCCUAUCCCGUGGCUCAUUUUAGCCUGAGGAGCUAAAGCCAUUCAUAGGAAGGAUCCGAGUGUCCUGCGUGUAUUUCUUGCUGGCGAGGAAUACAGAGCGGGCGCGGGACAUAUGGUGCCGAAACCCGGGACGCUUAACAUCUCCAGCACC